rnacentral:rRNA from 1 species
GAUGAACGCUAGCUACAGGCUUAACACAUGCAAGUCGAGGGGAAACGAUAGAGAAAGCUUGCUUUUUCUAGGCGUCGACCGGCGCACGGGUGAGUAACGCGUAUCCAACCUGCCCAUCACUUGGGGAUAACCUUGCGAAAGUAAGACUAAUACCCAAUGAUAUCUCUAGAAGACAUCUGAAGGAGAUUAAAGAAUUAUCGGUGAUGGAUGGGGAUGCGUCUGAUUAGCUUGUUGGCGGGGUAACGGCCCACCAAGGCGACGAUCAGUAGGGGUUCUGAGAGGAAGGUCCCCCACAUUGGAACUGAGACACGGUCCAAACUCCUACGGGAGACAGCAGUGAGGAAUAUUGGUCAAUGGACGAGAGUCUGAGCCAGCCAAGUAGCGUGCAGGAUGACGGCCCUAUGGGUUGUAAACUGCUUUUAUAAGGGAAUAAAGUGAGUCUCGUGAGACUUUUUGCAUGUACCUUAUGAAUAAGGACCGGCUAAUUCCGUGCCAGCCGCCGCGGUAA